rnacentral:tRNA from 1 species
CCCUGAUGGCUCAGAUGGUAAAGAGCCUGCCUGCAAUGCAGGAGACCCAUGUUCGAUCCCUGGAUCAGGAA